AAUGAACGUUGGCGGCGUGGAUUAGGCAUGCAAGUCGAGCGAGAAUCCAUUCAGUUGAAACUUCGGUCGAUUCUGGUGGAGGAAAGCGGCGAACGGGAGAGUAACGCGUGGAGUACCUGCCCUUAGAUCCGGGAUAGCCGCGGGAAACUGCGGGUAAUACCGGAUGAUGUCUCCGGACUAAAGGUGUGAUUCCGUCUAAGGAUGGCUCCGCGUCCUAUUAGCUUGUUGGUGAGGUAACGGCUCACCAAGGCGACGAUGGGUACCGGGUGUGAGAGCAUGACCCGGCUCACUGGGACUGAGACACUGCCCAGACACCUACGGGAGGCAG
rnacentral:rRNA from 1 species